ACACCAAGCCAAGUCACAUAAACGUUUCCUGUCACUUGUGUAUUUGUUUGUUUCUUUGUUUGUCUCUCUAUCAAAAAAGAUAAGAUAAACAAAUAUGCAGGCGCACUGAGACUGUAUAAAUCACUCCUAAUAUGCUAGCUGGCAUUGUGAAACAGCUGCUUAAGCAGACUAGCAUGCUAACAGGCUAAGCGUUAGGUUAAUGAUUUGCUUACCUAAUCAUCUUUUUUUUUUUUUUUUUAGGUAGAUUAGAUAAAGGUCGAUAGCGCAAACAGCCAAGCAGACGAGAGAACAUGACAUCGCUUAAAUUUUGCGCAAACAUCUCCUGGUUGUUCACGGAGCUGCCCGAGUUGAGUGAGAGACUGCGAGCAGCUGCGUGUGCAGGUUUCCAGGCUGUGGAGGCGGCUUGGCUGUACGGCUCUGACCUGAGAGAGCUGCAGAAAGUCAGAGAGGAAACUGGACUGCAGGUGGCUCUUAUUAACACUCCCCCGGGUGAUGUCAAGAAUGGUGAGCUGGGCCUGGGUGCUGUGCCUGGGAGAGAGCAGGAUUUCAGACAGGGUUUGGCUCAGGCUGUACAGUAUGCUAAAGCACUGGACUGCAAGAGGAUCCAUGUGAUGGCAGGGCGGGUACCGGCAGGGGCACAGCUGUCUGAGGUUGGUGUGGAAAUGGAAACCACCUUUGUGCAGAACCUGAAACAUGCUGCUGAUAUUCUAUCAAAGGAGGGCAUUAUGGGAUUGAUUGAGCCUAUCAACACAAGGAUAACUGACCCUCAAUACUUCCUGGACUCGCCACAUCAGGCAGCUGCAGUCCUUCAGAAAGUUGACCAUCCAAACAUGAAACUACAGAUGGACAUUUUCCACUGGCAGAUAAUGGACGGGAACCUGACGCAGAACAUCCGGAGAUAUUUCCCCUUAAUAGGUCACAUCCAGGUUGCUCAAGUUCCUGAUCGCCAUGAACCCGAUAGUCCUGGAGAGAUCAACUUCCCCUACAUCUUUAAGCUGCUGGAGGAACUGGGCUACCAGGGAUAUGUGGGUUGUGAAUACAAACCUCUGGAUUCUACAGCAAAUGGCCUGGGUUGGCUGAAAAAAUACCAGGAGAGUAAACACUGACAGUCACAUGUGUAAAAUCACAUCCUGUUCACUACAUAGUGCAGUGAUUUUGUACACAUCUGUAAUACUCACUCAUGAAAUCAACAAAGCACCACAAGAAGUAGCUUCCAAACGAUGUUAUUAUAAUUGAUAUGGAAGAUCAAUAAUGACUAUCCAAACUGUGGACCUUUGACAACAUUUAUUUAGAUAGGGUCCGUGUAAUAAAAUGCUUGAACACAUCCGCAAUGAUCUGAUGAUGGUGAAACUAAAGCUCCUGACAAAAUUAUAGAUGAUUGAUUUUAUUAAAAAAGGUCAAUCGAAUCACAUUGUCACUGUGCACUGUUGAGGUGUUGUCUCACCAAAACACUAACUCCCUGACUUGCUGACACUACAGCAACCAUUUUACUAAAUUAGAAAUCAGUUACUGAGUCUGCUGUAGUCCACCUUGUGGCCUAUAUAGUUUAUAGAGUGUGGUUUGGGACCAGUCCCAUGUUUCAGCCUUAUUAGAAUAUAAUAGAGCCGUUUCUGUCAGCUACCUGCUGUCAGCAACAUUUAAUCUAGGAGGAAAUCUCUAACUCCCAUAUACUGUACAGGGAGAUUUAGGACGUAUCGCCUGCUUCGCAGAAACUAAGGAUAGAAAAUGUAAGCACAUUUUCAGAAAUUGGGGCAGUAAUUACACAGCUUUACUGAUAGGACUGUUUGGAUGGACUCUUUUAGAAGUUUAGGGUGCUUUGUUGAGGAUUGACUGUACACCAAUACAUACUUGAGAGAGAUUCUAUGAUGAAAUUGCUAUGAUGUCGAAGUUGUAAAUUUCACAAUCUGGUAUUUUGUUAGGAAAAGGACAGUAGGUGCACAUGGCAAGAGUGUUGUGGUGGAUUUUUAAAAACCAUGUACACUUUAUUAAACACACUUACCUUGUUAGUCCAUAUCUUUGUCCAGCACAGUGUGUAUAAAUCGUGUAAAAUCACACUGUGCAUCAGUGUGAUUUUUCCCAACCAUAGGAUGCUGUUGACUUGAAAAGUUAUUAAAUCUUAUGAAUUUUAAGGUCAUCUUAUCUAUCAAUAUGUUGUAUUUUAAUUAUCAAGUCUUAAAUUUGAGCCUAUGGUUUAACAUCUUGUUCGAUCUGUAGUCGCAAAUGAUCUUUUGAGAUUUUUCUGGUUUCACAUUUUACAUUUUCUGUUUUUAACGUACUGAUCCCUGGGUUUACUUAACGUUUGCAUAACGUUGUAAGAGAAGGCAAGCAGACAAGAAACUUGGAGUAAAAAUGUCCACAUUUUACUCGUCACAGUGUUAUUUUUCCCUUUUGUUCAGGUCUAAAAGUAUUAAAAAGCAUUUGUAAAAAUUAUAUUUUAAAAACCAGGUCACACACACGUUACCAUGUCAUCGGCACUACUUUGCCGAGAAUCCUCCACCACCCGGUCAUCUUUGUCUGUCUAAAGGGACGAUGAUCAAUACAGUAACUGUACACCUACAAAGAGACCCAAGUAUAUGGCAACUCUACGUGGUGUAUUCUUAAUCCAGGAUUCAGUGAUUCAGCGUGCCCACCUCCAUCAGCGUCCUACAGCAGACCCGUCCACAGGUUGUAGCAGGCUGUGUUGAUCACAGACUCAAGGUGGUGGUACAUGGAGACGAGCUGCGGAGGAGGACUGCUGCUCGGCUGUGCCUGGGACGGCAACGGCUCCCUAAAGACAACUUUCAAGCUCUGUAGGGAGCAGGAGGAUGGAGAACAGGAAUCUGAACUCAUAAAUAUGCCUUGUCACUUUUGCUCACAAAAUGGAAAUGAAUAAACAUCCUAAGGACACUAUUUGAAUAGCUCACCGUUUUUCCUGCCUGGGAAUCCAGGAAGACAAGCACGAAGCAAUCAGUGAACUUCUGGUUAAGGACAGCCUGGAAAAGAAUGACAACAUUUAAAAUAGUAAUGUUUCAAUUUCCCAAAGCUUUUCAGUUAAAUUGCACUCUUGUCUGCAUGACCCAUUUAGGGUCAGCUACUGUAGCAUUAAAGCAUUGCACAUGCACUGUUUGUUUGGAAAGUAUGGGAGGAAAAAAAAAUCCAGCAUUUCCAAGUCCUUUCUUUUGAUCUGGAGUCUCUCAUUUAGAGAAUUAUGCAGAAACGAACCUCCUGACAGUCCAGAGCUGCCGACAAUUAUUCCAUGUUAAAUUCCUUCUAAUCCCUUCUAAGACUUUAAUUUAACGUUUUAAAAGGCACGCAAGUGUCACUGCAAACCACAAAGGUCUGAAAAUGUGAAAUAGAUGAGCCUCCUUCUAACAGAGAGUAAGUGUGACAAGCUCAGUUUAAUUUAGAAAAUUUCAAGGUGACUCAAGACUUCAUGCUGAUGUAUGAUUUCAUGCUAAUUUGUUGCAUAAAUUAAAAAAAAUAAAAAAAAAUCAGAUGAAAAGAAAAUCCCAGGAUAUAAUUAAAACACAAAAGGUAAUUGGGAUAAAAUGUGGAUAUGUAAUUGCAAAGAAGUGGAUAUUAUAAAAGAGUUUCUGUUGCCUAAAUGCUCAUAACCAAAGUUAUUUGAAUGUAAAUUGUGUUUUUCUGAUCACAGAUUUCUGCCAGGUGACUCGCACAACUGGAGGCAAGCGUUUAUAAUUGUUUUGUUUUUUUGUUAAACUUACUUAUGAUGUCAGAUCAGAGCAGAUUGUGCUAUGAUACACUUCCACAAACGUGUUGUGUUGUGAAAAGAUCACUUUGACAGAUCCCUGUUCUUUAAAUAAAACAGGGUGGUCAUUCACACCUCAUCCCAUUGAUUGAAAUCAUCUGACUCUACUGCUAGAGGUUCACAUACUUUUUCCACUCACAGAUAUGUAAUAUUGGAUCAUUUUCCUCAAUAAAUAAAUGACCAAAUGUAA